GAACCGGCAACCGACGGAGGGGUGGAGGAUAGGCCCUUCCCACUGCCUGCCUCCACCACUUGGCAUGGGCCGCACGUUGCAUGUUCUCGUACGCGGCUAUGGCAGGGAGGGACCGGGAGAAAUGGGUGCUGCUUCUACACGCACCACACGAAUUCGAUCGCAGCUGCUGCCUCUGCUAUACCAUCUAUGCCAUCUGACCACCACCGCCACCGGCUGGCUGCUGUGGUACUCAGGACUCCCACCACGUGGUUCCACAGACCCUGGACAACAAGGAAACAGCCAACUCUAAGACUGGACAAACAUGCCAUACCCAUGUUUCUAGGUUCUCUAGAGACAUGUCGCCCCAAAGCAAGUAGGAAGUAGUCAGAGUCCUGCUCUGCCAUCGCCUCUAAUUUUUCUUUUUUAAUUAAACCAAAAUGGG
rnacentral:lncRNA from 1 species